AAAUUAGACUAGAAAAAACUAAUCAAAACUAAAGAAAAUAGGACAUGAAAGAUAAAAGUGAGCAAAUAGAAAUAGAAAAAAAUAAAACAAAAUAGAACUAAAUAGAAAGAUCCAAAACCAAAUUUUAUUAAGAAAAAAGGUCCAAAGCCAUAUCUGACUAGAUAUCCCAAAAGGCCUUGGUCAGUCCUAUUUAUACUUUAUUCUAUUAUCUUAGACUUUCUAAAAUUUUCUUAGAUGAUAGACCUUACUUAAAUAACUAACUUAAACUCCAUCUAUAAUAGUUUGGAUGUAUUUAUCUUAUGGUUUUUUACUUGCCUAGUAGAAUCUUUGACUAAAUUAUAGAAAAAAUUAAGAUUGCAAGAAAUCUAGUCUAUUUAAGAGUUAUAUCUUUUAAUGAUAAUAAUCCUAAAAUAAUUGGAUUA
rnacentral:lncRNA from 1 species